UACGGAGGGGGCUAGCGUUGUUCGGAAUUACUGGGCGUAAAGCGCACGUAGGCGGCUUUGUAAGCUAGAGGUGAAAGCCCAGGGCUUAACCCUGGAAUUGCCUUUAAGACUGCAUCGCUAGAAUCGUGGAGAGGUGAGUGGAAUUCCGAGUGUAGAGGUGAAAUUCGUAGAUAUUCGGAAGAACACCAGUGGCGAAGGCGACUCACUGGACACGUAUUGACGCUGAGGUGCGAAAGCGUGGGGAGCAAACAGG
rnacentral:rRNA from 1 species